GAUCCUACGCUGGCACAAACUCUGCCUCACGCUUGCGAGCUGGUCCAAGAGCAAUGGCGCCGUCCAAGAAGGUGCUGAUGCUGUGCGGCGACUACAUGGAGGACUACGAGGCGGCCGUGCCCUUCUACGCGCUGGCCGGCCUGGGCGUCGCCGUCCACUGCGCCGCGCCGGGCAAGGCCCCCGGCGACCCCUGCCCCACCGCCGUGCACGACUUCCUCGGCUACGACCUCUACACGGAGCUCCCCGGCCACCGCUUCCGCGUCACCGCCGACUUCGCCGCCGCGGCGGCCGACCCGUCCUCGUACGACGCGCUCGUCGUCCCGGGCGGCCGCUUCGUGGAGCAGCUCAGCGUUGACCCCGAGGCGGUCGCGCUCGUCCGGGCGUUCGCGGCCGAGCUGCGCAGGCCGGUCCUGCUCACGUGCCACAGCCAGGUCCUCCUCGCCGCCGCGGGCGCCAUGGCCGGCGUCCGGUGCACCGCCUUCUUCAGCCUGCGGCCCGUGGUGGAGCUGGCCGGCGGGACCUGGGUCGAUCCCGAUCCCUUCAGCCUCUGCGUCGCCGAUGGCCACGUCCUGACCGCCAUCGGGUGGCCCGCGCACGGCGAGAUCAUCGCGCAGCUCCUGCGUGCCAUGGGCGCGCGAGUCCACGGCGGGCGCGGCCAGGGCGUCCUCUUCCUCUGCGGCGUGAGCUANGCCGGCGUGGGAUGCCGCGUGGAGGCGGCGUGCCCGACGAAGCGCAAGGGCGAGGCGUGCGUCACGGCGAUCUACGAAGACGUCGCCGGCGCAGCACCCGGCACGGUGAGCGACGAGAAGCGCGGGCAUAACUUCGCGAUGACCGUGGACUGGGC
rnacentral:lncRNA from 1 species